CUCCGGGGCCGGUCCCGAGGCAGGAGCCGCUCCCGGAGCUGCCCCCGGGCCGCCCCCGCCGGGCCGCGCCGCAGCGAUCGCCGCCGCCGCCGGCCGCCAGCCCCGCACCGCCAUCGGGCCCCGCGGCGGCGGCGGCACCGCCCCGAGGCGGGGGCACGGCGGGGCCGGGGCGGCGGGGUGCGGGGUGCCAGCCGGGGGGGGGGCCGCGGCCGGUGCCCUCCCGGGCACACGGUCCCGACGGGGCUCCUCGGGCCUCCCCCUGGGGCCGGAGGAGGGUUUUCCAGCCGCGGGGCUGCUCAGCGUGCGGGGAGGGGAGCCGUGGCGCGCCUCCGCGCCGGGUUGUGCAAAGCCAGCGGUGACGAUCUUAGACAUUAUUGCUUUUCAUAAUUCGCACCAUUAAUAGCCUCGGAGAAGUGAAAAACAGCGAUGACAAAGGCUGUGGCCGCAGAUUCCUGUUUCCAGGCCAAGAGCCGGUAGUUUGGUGUAACCCACCCCUGACGUAACCCUCCUUCCCCGGGUAGAGCCCCCGGCAGCCGGGAGUUUCCGAGCUGGCAGCGAGCUCUAUAAGAGCAGGGCCCGGCCGCGGAGCAGGGCAGGAGCCCCGGAGCCUGCCCGAAGCCCCUGGGCGCUGAGGCCACGCUGCCAGCCAUGAGCGUUCGCCCUUCGCCUCAUCAGUGUGUCUACCCAUGCAAGCCAAGGCUGACUUUAUUUCUUACCAGCAAAUUCCCAAUUACGAAAGCAGGCACGAACUGUGGGUGUGUUGUCCACUUGGUCUGCUUCCAUGGGUAGAGCCCACAGUCCAGCUGGGAGAUCAAGGAUCGAGACCUUGCUGACGCGUCACAUCUCUCCCCGUCGCACCGUUUCCCCCCCACCCGUCGGAGGAAGCCCCAGCGCGGAGGUGGAGGCCCAGCCGCGAGCCCUGCUCGGGGAGGAUGAAGGAAGAAGGUGGUCGGGAGGUCGGUGAGAGUCAGCAGCGACGUUAUCUGCUUCCCAGCUGGGGUGGGACACUUCUGCCGGGAAGGAAGAGGAGCUCUGCUCUUCCACUUCUCGGAGUAGUGUUUCAUGGUUGGGAGUUACCAAAUAACUCCUGUAAAACACUGUCCCGGGCGUGCUCUGUUUCGUGCUGCCGACAGGACAGGAAUGUUGGUAUUUAUGCAAAAUCCUUUGUGUCUUGUCCAAAACGACAAAAUAAACAAAGUCUAAUCUA